rnacentral:rRNA from 1 species
GCCCAGACUCCUACGGGAGGCAGCAGUGGGGAAUAUUGCGCAAUGGGGGCAACCCUGACGCAGCAACGCCGCGUGAUUGAAGAAGGCCUUCGGGUUGUAAAGCUCUUUAAUCAGGGACGAAAAAUGACGGUACCCGACCAAGAAGCCCCGGCUAACUACGUGCCAGCAGCCGCGGUAAUACGCAGGGGGCGAGCGUUAUCCGGAAUUACUGGGUGUAAAGGGAGCGUAGACGGCGAGGUAAGCCUGAAGUGGAAGCCCGCGGCCCAACCGCGGAACUGCUUUGGGAACUGUUUUGCUGGAGUAUGGGAGGGGUAAGCGGAAUUCCUGGUGUAGCGGUGAAAUGCGUAGAUAUCAGGAGGAACACCGGUGGCGAAGGCGGCUUACUGGACGAUCACUGACGCUGAGGCUCGAAAGUGUGGGGAGCAAACAGGAUUAGAUACCCUAGUA